CCACGGUGCUGGAGGAGAUGUCUUCGGAUGACAGGGCUUAAAGAAGAAAUGUAGCUUCCUCCCUGCUGGGAACUCCACGUUUCUGGCAUCUCCACGCUGAAGAAAUACUGUGAAGGUGUGAUCCAUCCCAUCUGCAUACACAAAUAUGAAGUUCUUGUGGAUAAUCCCAUUUUUCCUGCUGCAAGCUGAGGCAGAGCACAAGUACCUCCCAACCACCCUGGCCAGCACACACAUGGAUGAGCACACAGCAGGCAACAUUACCCUUCCACUGGGCUUGGAACUGGAAGAGCUGGAGGAGCUGCUCUGGUUCUUCCGCAGAGAAGACCCCUCAACAUGGAAUUACUCUGUUCUUGCGCUGUCCCUCGCGACCAUGAUUUUGGGUCUCGUUCUUCUGACCAUUAACAUUGUGCGAAACAGGUGAGACGGGAAAAUUUGACAAUCUUUUGGUGUGUGGUGGUGCCCUGAAAGCCUCCCGGGCAAACAGCCACAGGGGUUUGGCAGGGCAGGACAAGCCCUGAGUGAUGGGGAGAAGAGCAAACUCCUUUUGAACCAUUUGCUCAAUUUGUGUCACUUGGAACAAGCCCCU
rnacentral:lncRNA from 1 species